rnacentral:piRNA from 1 species
UAGUGCAUUUGUACUAACCAGUCCUACUAU